rnacentral:sRNA from 1 species
UAUUCUGCCCCAUGGGGAAGGAUGAGAAGCUUCGACUAAGGUUCGACUCGAGCGAAGCGAGAGAACGUUGCCGCAGGCAACGGCCCGAAGGGCGAGGAGCUUUAGCGCCGAGUAAUCCUUCCCCCACCACCA